GACGAACGCUGGCGGCGUGCCUAACACAUGCAAGUCGAACGAGACCGUCGGUUCUUUUGGCGUAUGGGUGCGUGACGCGCGAGAAGCUGCCCAUAGGGUCGGAAUAACUCCCCGAAAGGGGUGCUAACACCGGAUAAUGGCUUCGGACCAAUGAUUUAUGGCCUCUGGAUGGUCCCGCGUUGGAUUAGAUUGUUGGUAGGGUAAAAGCAGCCCAAGGGGCCGAUCCACAGCUGGUCUGGGUGGAUGAUCCGCCACACUGGGACUGAGACGCGGCCGAGACUCCUACGGGAGGCAGGAGAGGGGAAUGUUGGACAGUGGGCGAAGGCCUGAUGCAGCAAUGCGGGGUGAGUGAUGCAGGCGUUAGGGAUGAAAAGCUCUAUUACCCGGGAUGGUAAUGACGGUACCGGGAGAAAAAGCGCCGGCUAACUACGUG
rnacentral:rRNA from 1 species